rnacentral:rRNA from 2 species
AGAUAAGUGCUGAAAGCAUCUAAGCACGAAACUUGCCCCAAGAUGAGUUCUCCCUGACUCCUUGAGAGUCCUGAAGGAACGUUGAAGACGACGACGUUGAUAGGCCGGGUGUGUAAGCGUAGCGAUACGUUGAGCUAACCGGUACUAAUGAACCGUGAGGCUUAACCUUACAACGCCGAAG